UACGGAGGGUGCAAGCGUUGUCCGGAUUAUUGGGUUAAAGGGUGCGUAGGCGGCUGAUUAAGUCUGGGGUGAAAGCCCGUUGCUCAACAACGGAACUGCCCUGGAAACUGGUUAGCUUGAGUACAGACGGAGGGUGGCGGAAUGGAUACUGUAGCGGUGAAAUGCGUAGAUAUGCGGAGGAACACCGAUGGCGAAGGCAAUCCCCUGGGCCUGUACUGACGCUCAUGCACGAAAGCGUGGGAGCAAC
rnacentral:rRNA from 1 species